rnacentral:rRNA from 1 species
ACCCCAAACCGACACAGGUGGUCAGGUAGAGAAUACCAAGGCGCUUGAGAGAACUCGGGUGAAGGAACUAGGCAAAAUGGUGCCGUAACUUCGGGAGAAGGCACGCUGACACGUAGGUGAAGUGAUUUACUCACGGAGCUGAAGUCAGUCGAAGAUACCAGCUGGCUGCAACUGUUUAUUAAAAACACAGCACUGUGCAAACACGAAAGUGGACGUAUACGGU